rnacentral:tRNA from 1 species
GUAGCUCAAUUGGCAGAGCAGCCGGCUGUUAACCGGCAGGUUACUGGUUCGAGUCCA